rnacentral:rRNA from 1 species
CAGUAGCCGCGGGAAUACGUAGGGUGCAAGCGUUAAUCGGAAUUACUGGGCGUAAAGCGUGCGCAGGCGGCUUCUUAAGUCGGAUGUGAAAUCCCUGAGCUUAACUUAGGAAUUGCAUUCGAUACUGGGAAGCUAGAGUAUGGGAGAGGAUGGUAGAAUUCCAGGUGUAGCGGUGAAAUGCGUAGAGAUCUGGAGGAAUACCGAUGGCGAAGGCAGCCAUCUGGCCUAAUACUGACGCUGAGGUACGAAAGCAUGGGGAGCAAACAGGAUUAGAUACCCCUGUAGUCCCUGUCUCUUAUAC